rnacentral:rRNA from 1 species
AACGAACGCUGGCGGCAUGCCUAACACAUGCAAGUCGAACGAGACCUUCGGGUCUAGUGGCGCACGGGUGCGUAACGCGUGGGAACCUGCCCUUAGGUUCGGAAUAACUCCCCGAAAGGGGUGCUAAUACCGGAUAAUGUCUUCGGACCAAAGAUUUAUCGCCUUUGGAUGGGCCCGCGUGGGAUUAGCUAGUUGGUAGGGUAAAAGCCUACCAAGGCGACGAUCCAUAGCUGGUCUGAGAGGAUGAUCAGCCACACUGGGACUGAGACACGGCCCAGACUCCUACGGGAGGCAGCAGUGGGGAAUAUUGGACAAUGGGCGAAAGCCUGAUCCAGCAAUGCCGCGUGAGUGAUGAAGGCCUUAGGGUUGUAAAGCUCUUUUACCCGGGAUGAUAAUGACAGUACCGGGAGAAUAAGCGCCGGCUAACUCCGUG